UAGCACAUCUUAGGCAUCCAUGUGUUUGCUUGGCAAAGGAAAGGGGAUGGCAGGACACACUAGACAGAGACAAACAGUGUUGAGGCGUCAUGUAGAAACGGCUGUCCUUCAUUUUUAGAGAGAUGCAGUAAGAGUGGAAAGAUAAAAGUCAUCAGACUCAUCACCAGGGAUCUGCAGAGGCAGUUGGUUAAGGAAAUCAACCUUCAUUUAUCUGUUUCCCUCAUCUUUAAAGAUAGUAGUAUCUGCUUUCCCAAUCUCAGAACUGAGUACAGGAUUAAGUGAAAAACCGCAAAAGUUUUCUACAAAAAUAAGGCAUCAUUAAGAAUGUUAUCUUAACAGUGCUUUGGAGAACACAAGGUUGUCUCUCUCAGACAUCUGGCAGAAAGUGUUCCAAUAAAUAUUUGCUAGAAACAACAUCACAAUGUACUACUGACUAGAUUUAAGUAACUUUUAGUCCAGUAAAAUGAGGCCUAUUUUGUUUCUUAACCUACACAGGUUACAAUCACCAUGUUGUUUGGUAGGGACUUAGUAAAAGCCCUGGAAAAAAAAGAGGAAAAUAGUCCUCUCAAGGUGGGGAAUAUUGAAAGGUGUUACACUUUUCUCACAUUGUUCCCUCAACUUUCUUCCCAAAGGGGAAGUAGGGCUCAGAGAGAUCAGACAAACAUGCCGCACCCCAAAUAGUGAAAAUGUCUCCGAAGCAUCCUACACCAUCUGUUAACAUUCCUGUGUUCCUGUUUAAAAGAGUGAACGAUAUGGACACACACCCUUUAGGGAGGUUAUUCACCACCCACCUGCUUUGCAAGCGUUUAAGAACUCACACAGGGCGUUACUUAAGAACAGAACGCUUAAGUUACGUGACUAAACCAACAACCAUCACAGAAACCCUUUCCAUCCACUGCUCCCCUCCAAAUCUGAACAUUUCAUCUUCCUGUUUCCCUUCCUAGGUUACAAGUGCCAAGGUAACAAUGUUUUGAACUAACGUCAUACUCCUACUUCCGACGAAGUUUUUUCAGCUGCUACACCACGUGCGUUCCCACAGUCCGGGAAGAGGGAAGCGUGUAGCCAUUGGUGGACACUGAAUGGCUGUUUGCAGCAGUGGGCACAGAGAGGGGGAGGAGGACGUGGGACUAAGAUCCAAGUUUCCCGGAGACGAUUGCAACACCUCUUUGCUGGCAUGGAGCCGACAGGAGCAUGGCGUCUUUCCCAUGCCCAUGUGGGAAGGGCGUCAGGGAGAGACACCCGACCCUUUCUGGCAAGAAGCUUUUCUAUCUUUCCCUCCCCGUUUCCUUCUAGCGCCUUCCUCUUCCCCAAAGGAAUGCUCUCCUUUCCCAGAUCCCAAGCAAGGACCCAAAGUGCCAGGCCCACGUGUCCGUCCUUCCCCUACGUCCACAUCCAUCUCUACCCAAGGUCCCCUCUCCCAGACCGCCUCUCUUUUCCUCUCCAAACGCAGGCAUUUUCCAACACGGCAAUCCGCGACAGUGCCCGUCUGGUAGACAGAAGUUAAGACCUAAACUUUCUGGCCCGGAACCAGAAGAAAGCUAAGUUUUUGGCAUUUGGUAGUUUGCAAGACUGAAAGCAGAAGCGGCUUCCAGAAGAACCCCCUCCCCCGCCCUCUUAAUUUUGUGAGAAUCCAAGCCCACUGAAGAAAUUAUGCCAGGAAAUUCAGAGCGGAAGGGGAAAAGAGUUAGUGUCUGAAAGAAGAUACACAAAAGCAGAAUUCAAGUUAAGGAGAAUCUCAAGCCUGGGGAAAAAACAAUAAGCUCAUCUAUGUAACUGGGACUGUGGCUGUUCCCUCUUGUGUUCUCUGGAAGGACUUCGAAACGUGGAGGAUAUCUUCAUAGUAGGCACAUUUGAGUAGCACCGUGUUCCUCAAGGUUCUCAAUUCUAGCAAAGAUUCCCAUGAACACUGUGGUGCAGAGCCACAGAACCACUGGACUUGGGCAUUCCUGCAAGUUGGACAGUGUUCAUCUCAUCAGUAAGUGUGGUCAGAAUCUAGAUUAAAGACUAAACAGCAUGCUCUAUUGAAGAUGGGAUGGGUGUGAAGAGGAGGGGAUGGAUUUGGGAUGGAUUCCCCCAAAUAAAAUUAAUUUUAAGUGAAA